rnacentral:lncRNA from 1 species
UUUGAUACCGCUUUAUACUCACGAUCUUGUAUCCACUGACUGUCUCGUUAGAUUAACCCAAUAAAUUUCAUUCACUCCGCAUACUCAAUCCUAUAGACACCAUUUUAAUUCUUCAUUACAGACGUAACUCGAUUUCACAAAACAAUCAAGAAUAAUCACACCCACUUCAUUAAAAUCCCGAUUCACCAGUACAACACUGACUUCAGCAAUGAUUGCCUC